GGGUUGUGAGGUUAAGCGACUAAGCGUACACGGUGGAUGCCCUGGCAGUCAGAGGCGAUGAAGGACGUGCUAAUCUGCGAUAAGCGUCGGUGAGGUGAUAUGAACCGUUAUAACCGGCGAUUUCCGAAUGGGGAAACCCAGUGUGAUUCGUCACACUAUCAUUAACUGAAUCCAUAGGUUAAUGAGGCGAACCGGGGGAACUGAAACAUCUAAGUACCCCGAGGAAAAGAAAUCAACCGAGAUUCCCCCAGUAGCGGCGAGCGAACGGGGAGGAGCCCAGAGCCUGAAUCAGUGUGUGUGUUAGUGGAAGCGUCUGGAAAGGCGCGCGAUACAGGGUGACAGCCCCGUACACAAAAAUGCACAUAUUGUGAGCUCGAUGAGUAGGGCGGGACACGUGGUAUCCUGUCUGAAUAUGGGGGGACCAUCCUCCAAGGCUAAAUACUCCUGACUGACCGAUAGUGAACCAGUACCGUGAGGGAAAGGCGAAAAGAACCCCGGCGAGGGGAGUGAAAAAGAACCUGAAACCGUGUACGUACAAGCAGUGGGAGCCUCUUAAUGGGGUGACUGCGUACCUUUUGUAUAAUGGGUCAGCGACUUAUAUUCUGUAGCAAGGUUAACCGAAUAGGGGAGCCGAAGGGAAACCGAGUCUUAACUGGGCGUUAAGUUGCAGGGUAUAGACCCGAAACCCGGUGAUCUAGCCAUGGGCAGGUUGAAGGUUGGGUAACACUAACUGGAGGACCGAACCGACUAAUGUUGAAAAAUUAGCGGAUGACUUGUGGCUGGGGGUGAAAGGCCAAUCAAACCGGGAGAUAGCUGGUUCUCCCCGAAAGCUAUUUAGGUAGCGCCUCGUGAAUUCAUCUCCGGGGGUAGAGCACUGUUUCGGCAAGGGGGUCAUCCCGACUUACCAACCCGAUGCAAACUGCGAAUACCGGAGAAUGUUAUCACGGGAGACACACGGCGGGUGCUAACGUCCGUCGUGAAGAGGGAAACAACCCAGACCGCCAGCUAAGGUCCCAAAGUCAUGGUUAAGUGGGAAACGAUGUGGGAAGGCCCAGACAGCCAGGAUGUUGGCUUAGAAGCAGCCAUCAUUUAAAGAAAGCGUAAUAGCUCACUGGUCGAGUCGGCCUGCGCGGAAGAUGUAACGGGGCUAAACCAUGCACCGAAGCUGCGGCAGCGACACUAUGUGUUGUUGGGUAGGGGAGCGUUCUGUAAGCCUGUGAAGGUGGCCUGUGAGGGUUGCUGGAGGUAUCAGAAGUGCGAAUGCUGACAUAAGUAACGAUAAAGCGGGUGAAAAGCCCGCUCGCCGGAAGACCAAGGGUUCCUGUCCAACGUUAAUCGGGGCAGGGUGAGUCGACCCCUAAGGCGAGGCCGAAAGGCGUAGUCGAUGGGAAACAGGUUAAUAUUCCUGUACUUGGUGUUACUGCGAAGGGGGGACGGAGAAGGCUAUGUUGGCCGGGCGACGGUUGUCCCGGUUUAAGCGUGUAGGCUGGUUUUCCAGGCAAAUCCGGAAAAUCAAGGCUGAGGCGUGAUGACGAGGCACUACGGUGCUGAAGCGACAAAUGCCCUGCUUCCAGGAAAAGCCUCUAAGCAUCAGGUAACAUCAAAUCGUACCCCAAACCGACACAGGUGGUCAGGUAGAGAAUACCAAGGCGCUUGAGAGAACUCGGGUGAAGGAACUAGGCAAAAUGGUGCCGUAACUUCGGGAGAAGGCACGCUGAUAUGUAGGUGAAGCGACUUGCUCGUGGAGCUGAAAUCAGUCGAAGAUACCAGCUGGCUGCAACUGUUUAUUAAAAACACAGCACUGUGCAAACACGAAAGUGGACGUAUACGGUGUGACGCCUGCCCGGUGCCGGAAGGUUAAUUGAUGGGGUUAGCGGUAACGCGAAGCUCUUGAUCGAAGCCCCGGUAAACGGCGGCCGUAACUAUAACGGUCCUAAGGUAGCGAAAUUCCUUGUCGGGUAAGUUCCGACCUGCACGAAUGGCGUA
rnacentral:rRNA from 1 species